AUUGAACGCUGGCGGCAGGCCUAACACAUGCAAGUCGAACGGUAACAGGGAUCAGCUUGCUGAUUCGCUGACGAGUGGCGGACGGGUGAGUAAUGUCUGGGAAACUGCCUGAUGGAGGGGGAUAACUACUGGAAACGGUAGCUAAUACCGCAUAACGUCGCAAGCCCAAAGAGGGGGACCUUCGGGCCUCUUGCCAUCGGAUGUGCCCAGAUGGGAUUCGCUAGUAGGUGGGGUAACGGCUCACCUAGGCGACGAUCCCUAGCUGGUCUGAGAGGAUGACCAGCCACACUGGAACUGAGACACGGUCCAGACGCCUACGGGAGGCAGCAGUGGGGAAUAUUGCACAAUGGGCGCAAGCCUGAUGCAGCCAUGCCGCGUGUAUGAAGAAGGCCUUCGGGUUGUAAAGUACUUUCAGCGGGGAGGAAGGGAGUAAAGUUAAUACCUUUGCUCAUUGACGUUACCCGCAGAAGAAGCACCGGCUAACUCCGUG
rnacentral:rRNA from 1 species